rnacentral:rRNA from 1 species
CAGCCGCCGCGGGAAUACGUAGGGUGCAAGCGUUAAUCGGAAUUACUGGGCGUAAAGCGUGCGCAGGCGGUUCUAUAAGACAGAUGUGAAAUCCCCUGGCUCAACCUGGGAACUGCAUUUGUGACUGUAGAGCUGGAGUGCGGCAGAGGGGGAUGGAAUUCCGCGUGUAGCAGUGAAAUGCGUAGAUACGCGGAGGAACACCGAUGGCGAAGGCAAUCCCCUGGGCCUGCACUGACGCUCAUGCACGAAAGCGUGGGGAGCAAACAGGAUUAGAUACCCCGGUAGUCCCUGUCUCUUAUAA